UAAAUCUUCUUCUCAAUAGUAUCCCUGGUGAUUGCUCCUUAUAUUAACAUUAGCUGGGAAAUUAAACAUGUUACUGCAUUAGAGUAUGCUUGUGUGUGUGCACACAUGUACUUGUGUGUGUUCAUGAGUUUGUGUGCAUAUGGUGAGCAAGCCACCACUGAGAACACAGUCUUCUAAUGAACAGGAGCAAGAGAGUCUGGAUGAAAUACUGAAGGACCUGCUGAAGCAGAAGGAGCUGGUCACCCAGCAAAGGGACUUGGCAGAAAAACUACAACAUCACUUCAGUGUCCCUGAGAUGAGGUAGGAGCCCAGGCUUGGAGGAGUGGUUAGAACCAUGUAGAUCACCUGUAUCUGGAUCUCUGUCCUUUUGGGAUUCCUACCAUCUGAAUAGCUCCCAGCCAGAGCCAGGGAAAGAACAUCUCAGGAUAUUGUACUGGUCUGGUCAUCAAGAACUUCUCCAGGAAACACUAUGUUUGAUCCUUUGUGUUUCUGGGGAGUGUGUAUCCCUUAUUCCUUUCUGGGCUCUCUGGUAUCUUCUCAGUACCUUGUCCCCUGUGUCUCCCCACAAAUCUCCUUAUGGCAGUCCUCAAGCUAGCAGGAGGAGGGUUAGUGGUGGAGGACAGUGUGUGCUCCUGCCACUUUAUUUUCCUUCCAGAACAUCACCUUUAGAGAGAAGUUCCUACCUUUGCACAGAUCUGCAUGCAGCACACUCCUGCAGAUUACAGGUUCUCUGCAGUGUGCAUCUGUUUCCUGUGAAAAAAUUUUACUGUUAUAAGAAGAUUUAGGGGUUGAGGAGUUGAACCUAGGCAGGUUUGUAUACUGAAGGAAUAAUCAGAUCCUUCACUGCUUUUCUUUUGUAGGAUCCCCUAGAGGGUCUACAUUCAGUUUCCCAUGUUGCUCACAUUCACCUGGUAUCUAAUCAAGGACAUGCCUAUCUGACCUGAACUGUAACUCAGACAUUGGUACACUGUUAUUUUUCCAAAUAAUGUAUCUAGACAACUGGAGAAAUGUAUGGACUUUCUUGCCCAGCACAGUGUAGUGCUCAAUUCAUCUUCUAGUAGAUUUUAAAAGCUGAGAAUAAAAUGCAGGCUCAGUUGUACUCUGACCCUUCUCCCUUGGGGAAUGCCGGGAAUGACCUCAGCGGAAAGGUCAUGCUCGACUGUCCAGCUGACUAGAGCUGGUUCAGGCUCAACAGCUGACAUGGCAGGUCCCCACCAGGCCUGUUCCCUAACUGCCUUCCUCCUCUGGGUCAGAAAAUCUCCAGUCUGAGUUUGAACAGGAUGAGAGCCUCCUGCAGACCGAGCUGCUGCAGCAGGAGCAAUAAGUGUCCCAGACAAAUCUUGAGAGAACUGAGGAGGCCAAAGAAGCCAAAGAUGCCUUGAACCCAUGAAGCUCUCCACCUCAGAUCAAGGUCUGCUCAGAAGACAUCCCAUAUAGUUGUGAUCUCACCAGUGAGGCAAAUACCAUCUGACCUCCAGGUGAUCCAGCCCCCGUCAAUAGAUCUGUUGACUCAGGAUUCCUGAAGAAAAGAAAGCAUCACAAAAAACUCAAGACAGAAAAACCUGAGACAAGAAUUAUUGGGAACCCUGACAUUCAACAGCAAGUGGUCCCUGUGAGGGCAACAACAACAUGGAGGGUAGAGAUGUUGGUGAGCAAGACAUUUUCUGACAGUUUAAUGUCGAUGGUUUUGGCAAACUGACUGAGUCCUUAGCCCUCCCUAGGUGGAGGGAAAUCUGUCAUGGAAGACUGUUGAUGUCAAGCUGUUCCUGACAGACUACACCAAAAAAACAUCAUUUUUCAUUCUCCAGGCCAGUGCUGAAGCUGACUCCAUGUCAUGCACCAGUGUUGCUGAGGAUAAUGCACCACAGAGAUCUCCACAGUCCAUCAUUCCCCGGGUUAGACAUUUUUUCCUACAUAUUUAAAAUCAGUGGGUAUUUCUCCAUUUCUCAGCUUGAACUGAAGUGACUGGUCCUGAGAAAGGAUUUAUAGAAGACAUCUGAGUCAUCUUUGAUGUUUUUUGGUACUCAGAUGCUGCCCACAUAUUUGUGGAGUCUCUAGUAAGCACACAAGAGUCUGUAUGCUGAAAGAAUCAAAUAGUGACCAAGACAUUACAGGAUCAGCAGUGUGUGAUAAUUUAUCAAAAGCUUCCCAGAGGGGCACAAAGAAUGCUCUAGAAAAUGUCUCAUCCUUAGACUCGGUGAAGGCUUGGCCUACAAAGCCUGAAGGAGGCAUGGCUAUACUAGUUUUGAAAAGGCGUUUUACAAUCGCUGACUGCCUUCCUACCAUGUUUCCAAGCCCAGCCACAGGCUGUAGGUCUGUGCUGCUAACUGUGCAGCAGAGAAUGCUGCUGGCCUUAAUUGUUUUUUGUUUGGUUUUUGGUUGCUUUGGGUUUUUGUUUUGUUUUGUUUUCUUUGUUAUAGAUUGAGAUUUUGCUAUUUAUUUGUUCUUUCUUUUGUUCUUGUUGUUAUUUGGGUAUUUUGCUAAGGCUGUUUACUGUUUAUAUUGACUGCUCCCUUUAAGCCCCUAUUGAGUAAUAUUACUGAAUUUUAUUAAUAAUAAAGUGAUUUUGAACUUUU